GUGAAAAUGUCUUCUAAACUGAUUAGCGGGAAAAUCCAAGUUUUUGCGCGAAGUUCCCACCAAAAAUUUCAUUUUUCCCUCCACUCGCAUAAACUGGUUUCUCCCUCUCCAACUCUCUGAAACUUAACCCAAAUGGCCGAAUUAAAGCUAGGUCUUGUACAAAUCUGUCAAAAUUAGAGAUUUUAGAGUGGGUUUCUACAUUUCUUCCUCCCCUGUUUUCGACAUAUCUUCGUGGGUUUGUAUACUUUGUUGCUGAUGGUAUCGGCAUCUCUCAUUUCUGAUUUUGAUUCAUGUUAUUCUGUUUUUCUUGCAAAAGCAUUUGGGGUUUCAAGAUCCAACACUAUGAUUAAUUGAAAAGCUUCAAUUACUAACCAAUUUAUAAAGGUUGGAUUUUUGGUGAGAUUGUUCGAAAGGGUUAGUAGAUGAACUUACAAAAAAGAGGAUUAGUAGACUCUUUCAUCUUUUUUGAACACCUAGAUUGGCUAUUUGGCCUUAUAACCACAGCUACCUCCCUCCUUCCCUGUCAAUCUCUGUGAUAUACUGAACAUUGUCUCAUUCUUGACAUUUGCCCAAACUUGACACUGUCUCAUACUUAAAAAUUCAGCUGAUAAGUCCAGCUUUGCGAAAGAGUCAGCAAUGAAAAUAGAUGCACAACCUUCAAGUAGUCUUGGUCUUAUGUUCAACUAAGAAGUAAUCUUCCAUCACCAACAAAAUCAGUUCAAUUUUUGAAAUUUCUGAGAGUAAGUCAAGUACAACUCUAUGACCCAAACCUGAUUUUAACAGCAUUAGCAGGUACUAAAAUCCAUGUUAACUGUGCUACCAAAUGAUGAUAUCAUUUCAAAUGUGUCUAAAAUCAAUCACUUGUAGAUGAAUGAACUAGACUAAAUAUCGUUCCUUUUUAUCCUAAUACUAAAUAUCUUUCACUUGUAGAUCAGCCCUGUUACUCAUUUUUAUUCACACUCCAAGCCUUAUAUAAAGAUUUAUACCUGAUCUUGUAAGUUCCUGUAAAAGGCCUCAGUAAAUGUCAUUUGAAACUAAAGAUACGUUUUGACAAAUAUGACAUAAUCGUGAUUCAUGAUAUCUAGUUUUCUAACAAUGGAAAAAUUUUCAUAAUGAAAUGUAUAAGCUAGUCAUCAAUUUUUUGAUAAGGGAAGCAGAACAAUGCUUACCUUGUUAUGGGCAUACAGUCUUACAAGUUUUGUGACCUGCACCAAUUCAGAGCGAUUUUUCUGAGAAAGCAAGCUUUUGUGUGAAACUUCUUUUGCAGCUUUACUCGAUCCAUUGCUGGAUACUAAGCUCAUCCCAGAUUAUUAAAGUUAUUCAAGUUUUUUGUCUUUAGGAACUGCAGGUGUUGGUGUUGUUCUGAAGUUCUGCUAGAUACUUGUUAUUGGAAUGGAAGUACUUGGCCGAUCGAAAAUAAAAUAAAACGGAAGUACUUGAAGUUGAUGUACCUGAUGUAAUGUUGGCGAUGCAUGUUUGCAUCUAGCAAUCAAUCUAAAUCAUAAAUUAUCUUAUUGUAAAUCUUAUGUGUUCCCUCACUAGUUCAAUUGCACUGAAUAAGUUGUCUUAGAUUGAAUUUUAAAAUUGUUAAUAUAUGGAAGUGGAGGAGUACGUCAAGCACCCAGGGAAGUUUGCACUUGUUGGAGGAAAACGGCUCAAGGGAAUGAUCAUGACAGGUGGGCUUGGGACUGGUAAGACUCUGCUUUCCAAGACUAUUGCAGCAGAAGCCAGAGUACCUUCAUUUAUUCAGAGCAGAUUCAGAAAGGAAUUGAGGGUCUGCCAAUGGUAUUCUCUGUGUGCAACAUUAUAAAAUGGAGAAGGAGAAAAUGUAGAAGCACAGACACUAGAUAUCUUGGAGCCUGCAAAAGCUGUAGUAGUCGACGCUUGCAGAGUGGCCUCGGUGAAACUCUGCAUUUCUAAUUUAUCAACUGUUACUGGCAAAUUAUGCAGUGAAGGCCUCUCAGAGAGUCUCAAGCAAUUUGAGAUUAUGGAAAGAUUGUUUACUGAACAACGUUUCAAUGGGAUGAUCCUAGUAUUUUGGAAAAUUUACUCUUCAACAAACUAAUUAUUUUUAUGACAUAACUAAUUUUGUACCUCUUGAUGAUGGUUUAAAAAAUGAAUGCUAAAUUUUCAAUGGGAUGAUAUCCUUGUAUCCUUGAAAUAAAUCUUA